GAAAUAAACAUUGCAAGCAAAUAUAGAGAGGAGGCGAGCUGUUUGUGGUAAGUUGCUUAUGCCAUUUGUUGAGUAUGACUGGAAACCAAAAUGAAAUUUUAGUUUUAUUCAAAAAAUAAAAAUAAAAUCUCUGUUGAUACUUAAUAUAGCUGUGGUAAUUUCCUUGCAAGUCUUCAGCCUGUUGGCUCACAGUCUCUUUGCCAUUGAGAAACUUAUGCUCUAUCUUAAUGAAGACAGCAACUAGAAAUUAGCAGUUACUGGUGGUGGCUGUUAGAUCUACCUAUUUGCAUGGAUUUUUUUUAAUGACCAUCGGUUCAUAAGUAUUUUCAUUUUUUGAAAAUGUUUUCCAUUAUUUCAGGAGAAACCAUACAGUGUCACAUGAAAAAGUUAUAUCAACAAUGAACAGGUUUGAUAAAUAAAAUGCAGGGGGAAAAAAGUGAAAUGGUUAAUCCCUGUACUAAUUAUUUGUCCCAUUUUUGUUAAUACAAAUUAAAUGUUUCACUUGGUUAAUGACAAGUUUGAUCAAACAGUUCAUAAACUGAUGGAUUGACUUUGAAAUGAAUUCAGGGAAAAAAAAUGACAUGAUGUGGAGCUGGCAAGGGGCCGCCUCUAGUGGGAACAGAUGCCCAACAAAUUUGGCGAGUAGUUUUGUUCUCUUCUAUCUGUUGCAGUUCACAAUCCUAAUGAAUGUUAUGUUUAAAUAACAUGAAUAAAGAUAAAGUGAAAAUGAAUUCAACUCCAGUUUGAGCAGCAGAAUAAAAAUGAGCAAACUGUAUUAUCUUCUGCCACCUAAUCUGGGUUGAAUUUCCUCUGUAUCUUUUUUGUUUGUUGAAGAAUCCUUUUCUUGAGUCUCCUUGGCCAUUGACAAGGUCUUUUGAGAUGAAUAUGAAAAGAUAGAUUUAAAGGUUAAGGCCAGGGUCAGAUGGUUGCAGAUGUUUUGUGAGAGAUUGUUCGGUUCAGUUUGUGGUACUUCUCCUGACUAAGGUAUUUCAAACAGGCAGACUCAUGGCCAGCAACUGUCGAUGAAUGUUGUUUGUCUCACAAUUGAUCCAUGCAAACACAAACACAGAGUAGAAAGAGUGUUUGUUUUUUCUUAGGCAGAUAAUUUUCCCCCAGCCCAAAGACUUUGUCUGAAACCAGAGAAGACACUAUUUUUAUUUCUAGAAAGUAGGACUUUUUAGGUUUGGCUCUUCAGAUGAUCAGCUGAGACCAUUUUUCAGGGGAUAAAUAAUGGCACCAUGUAACAGAAGUUGAUUAGACUGUAAAAGGUUGCAACGUUUUUGGAGAGGAAGUGAAAGGAAGUAGAGCUUGGACAUUGAAAGAAAAAAGAUAAAUGAACUAGUCUCUUAUCUCCUGACUUCAAAUUCUAAUUAACAAAAAAUGUGGAAAUAAAGGGACAGAGUUCAUGAAAGUCACGCUGAUUGCCAUUGGGAUAUUUCAUUAUUUGAUAGAUUUAGAUUGAAUCAUCUCUCUCCAUAAGGGAGGUUAGAAUACAUAGAUGUGUAUAUAUGUAUAAAAUGUGUAUGUGUAUACACACAAUAUAUGUAUGUGUGUGUGAAUCUGUUAAAUUAUGUGUAUAUAUAUUAUAUAUACACACAUAUAUUUGUGUAUGCAGUAUACACACAUAUAUACACAUAUACAUAUGUGUGUAUGUAUAUAAUAUGUGUGUAUAUGCACACACACACACUCACACACACAGAUCCUCUUAACAGUCAGAUGGCAUUAGAUGUAAAGUAUUUCCUCCAGGAAUGUCUUAAGGGUUUUCACUUUAAGAAUUUUUAUUUACUAUCUCCAUAGGUUUAUAAACAUGAUUAAAACAUUUCCAUGGGCCAUUUCCCAUUCCCUUCCCUUGAGUGUUUUAACAUUUAAGUUAUGAGCAUUGAGAGCCUAUAGUUAAUUGACUAAGGCCAAUGGGAUGGUUCCUUUCCACAAUAUACAAUUCAGAACAAUUUAGAUAGGGAUGUUUUCUUUCUUAGAUCUUGUAAAGAUGGCUUUUAAUUAACAUAUAUUUUGGAACAUUCUAUGUAAAAAUAUCUAGGAUGUUGAAAAAUACAAAGGACUAUGAAUUUUUUAGUCAACACGCUGAGAGAAAGCUUUUAUAGCUUUUACUUUCCUAGCAUCUAUUCACUAUCAGUCCUUCACAUUUACAUUCUUCUGAAUUUUAUGCUGCAUAAUGCUACCGGGAAGACUGUGUUUAUUAUUCUGACAUGAUUCUUUGUGAAAUAGGUGCUUGAUAAGGAUUAUUUUUAAAAGACCAAAAGCCCCUCAAGUGAUUACUCUCUCAAACUUCUUGUAAAGGAGGACAGAUAGUGAUCCUCACCACCACCGGAGGCAAGUCUAGAAUUUUCCAAUGUUUUAAAUGUUUGCAUGCCACACAAUAUCAUCAAAAAUUUUUUUUUUGCUAAGGUGAAAAAUUAGAUUUUUUUUUGUACCUGAGGCCUGUUGCCUGUUGUUCUUUAGAACAUUUAGUUACAUUUCAAAUAACACAGUAAAUUUCCUGAUCAUUCCUAUACAUUUGGAUCACUGAAGAAUGUGGAAGCUUACAAGAAUUACAAAUAAAAUAAUUUUUUAUGCUUCUUCUUAUUAAAACUGAAGGUGUUUGAAAAUACAAAUGGAAAUUUAAUUUGCAAACCGUCUUAAUGCUAUGGAUACACACAUAAAAUAUAUGAAACGUUUCCUAUUAAAGGGAUUCAAGGAUGUGUAUUUCACUAUUUCAGAUGAUACGAUGAAAUUAUUAUCUUUUUACACAAUAGUCUUCAUUUCACUACCUUAUUGAACUAAAUUGUUUCACUAUAGGACACCAAGUUUUAAAGAUUGGGAUUUUAGUAGAGAGCGUGUUAGCUCUACAACUUUUGCACACAAGUCAAAUGUUAUUUGAAAUACAUAUUUCACUUUUUUUGGCUAUUCUGAAACCAAAAGAAAAAAUUUACAGA
rnacentral:lncRNA from 1 species